UGCCGGAGGUUCUAGAAUUGAGACCCUGUUGCCCAGCAACCUUGAUAAUACACAUAGAGUGACUUUUCCUCCUUCCUGGGCUUGCUCACUUCCUUUCCCUUUACCCCUGCUUCCUGGGAUCUCCUCCCAAACGAACGAGUCCUGUCUCAGGCUCUGCUUCUGGGGGAACCCAAGCUAAGAGAGAAGUGCUAUUAACAACCGGAGGAUCUGAAUGCCAUCUCUUACCUUUCAGAAUUGUCACUUACACCUAAACCAGAGAGGAGGAGAGUCCCAACGCUGGCUUUGAAACACCUCUGACCCACAGGAAAUGGCUGUUUUCAAGUGUCAGGAGGAAGCCCGGGGAGCUUGACUUGGAAAGACUUACAGUGCAGAGGACAGCAGACACAGCGGAGUGUGGGAGGUAAUGCCUGAAGCUUCACUAGAGGGAUUCAGUGAAAGUUUGCAGCCUGCCUGCAAGGACCUCCCCCAGAGCCUUCCUCAGGAGGCUGGCGGUCAAGCACGGACUCCCCAAAAGAAAGACUGGAGAGGAUAAGUACCCCCAGACUGACAAGUUAACGCGAAGGUACUGUGCUUACAACGAAAGCCCUUUAUGCCUCAGCUUGUCCUGGCCUCGCCUGCCGGCUCCUCAAAUCUCGGCCGCAGUGCAGCAUCUGGCCAGCCUCCGGCAGGUGCAGCCUGACAGUAUCUGGCCUCCGGCCCACGGAUGCUUCUUACUUCCUGCCCUUGGGCUUCUCCCAAAGACCCAGGCAAGAGCCACCUCCCUUCUGAUGUAUGUUCCACCUGGAAAUAGAGUCGAGUUGACACCCCCUGAGUCACCUCUUUGACCAACUGGUUUAGGGGGAGAAUCCUGAGCUGACAGAGGCAUCCCUCCCUCUUUCUCGGGAAUGGACAGACAGCGCUAGGACACGUUCACGCAGCUGUCCAGGCUGUCCCCCGAUAGAGCAACCAGUCACCUGCCGUCAUGACCAAGCGAUAGUGAAUCCUUGAACCGGCUCUCCCUCCUUCCCUGUUUCACCUCCUAUCACUCCCCGUCCCCUGGAGCAAACCCCCGGUUUGUCUUGUGUGGUCUUAGGCUUUGCUUUCUGGCAAACCCAGGUUAGAACGAAACUGAUUAAAAACGUUAAAAAAAAUUUUUUUUAAUGUUUAUUGAUUCUUGAGGGAGAGACAGAGUGUGAGAAGGGGAGAGGCAGAGAGGGGGAGACACAGAAUCACAGAACAGUUUUCUAAAUGUUUUCUGAUCGUUAUAAUCGUGGGUCCCGAUUUAUCUAUUUUUUCCUACUAUGUGGCCUGGCCGAGUUUGGGGGGUUUCUUCCUAUACUAACUCCCUCUCCGCCAUCCACUUACAGCUGUUACCACGCUUCUCCAUUAUGAAAUAUUAGUAUUAGGGGUAAAUAUUAGUAUAUCUAAUCCUCUAUCUUCCACUGGUAUAUGAAAUUAAAUAAUGGUCAUUCUGUCCCCAUAAAACACUUUGCCAGCUCAGCCCCCUUCACUCUCAUUGUGAAGGAAACUUUAUUUUUUUACUUGUUAUUUCCUUCCUCCUUCAACUUUGAACUUUGCUGAGACUGCCCAUAAUUAUAAAUGUCACCCCAUCAGCUUUCCCCUUCAGGUAUUUACCUUUGGUUUCGAAAUCCUACAUUUAUACUUUGUAAUUCUUUGUUACAUUAUCAUUUUCCGUUUAGAUCUAUUUUAAAAAUCUGAUUAUUUGAUUCAUUUUCACUUACUUUGGCCUUUACUGGAAAGUUUUUAGGGGCGCCUGGGUGGCUCAGUUGGUUGAGCAUCUGACUCUUGGUGUCGGCCCAGGUCACGAUCUCAGGGUUCGUGGGUUUGAGCCCCACAUGGGGCUCUGCACUGACAGUGCGGAGCCUGCUUGGGAUUUUCUCUCCGUCUCUCUCUCUCUGCCCUUCACCUGCUCGCAUUCUCUCUCUCUCUCUCUCUCUCUCUCUCUCUGUCUCAAAAUAAAUAAAUAAAUGUUUAAGAAAAGAAGAGAAGA
rnacentral:lncRNA from 1 species